GGCCGUUAGGCGUUGGCGGUAGCGCGUCGCCCGCCUCGCGCCGCGGCCGCCUCGCCGCCCCUCACCGUCCCGCACGGCGCCACGCGCCCGCCGCCGCCCUGGCGAGAGCGGGCAGAGCCCGAGCCGACGCCGCGGCCUUGCCUCCAGUCAGAGCCAGGCGGCUCUCCGGGAGCGCGACGCCCCGAGCAGCGUCACCUCAGCGGCUGCCCCUGAGCAGUGGAGAAUGUUUUGGAAAUGGAAGAGAUUACAGCUGUGAGAGUAGAAGUUAUAUAUGUGUGUCUAGACCAAGAAAAAAAUCAAAGACUCCUUUUUUCUCUGGAACAGCCUUUGGACAUAAAUUAGAGUUCUCUAAGAUACCCAGGAUUCUUCUUCUCCUCCUCCUAUAACAUUUGUAAGAUGUUCAGAGUCACCCCAGAUCCUCACUCCUGGUUCUGAGAAGCAGAAUAUACUGAAGAAGCUCAGAACUUAAUGGAGAAUUUCCACAUAUAAUAGGAAUUAUUCUGACAGACUGAUGUUCAUGCUGGAAACAUAGAAGAGAAGCUGGAUGGGCUAUACUUCAGUCCUCCUUUGAAGCCAAUAGCUUCAUAUCCACUGACUUCAAUCAGAGCAA